UGAGGAAUAUUGGUCAAUGGACGAGAGUCUGAACCAGCCAAGUAGCGUGAAGGAUGACUGCCCUAUGGGUUGUAAACUUCUUUUAUACGGGAAUAAAGUUAGCCACGUGUGGCUUUUUGUAUGUACCGUAUGAAUAAGGAUCGGCUAACUCUGUGCCAGCAGCCGCGGUAAUACGGAGGAUCCGAGCGUUAUCCGGAUUUAUUGGGUUUAAAGGGAGCGUAGGCGGGUUGUUAAGUCAGUUGUGAAAGUUUGCGGCUCAACCGUAAAAUUGCAGUUGAUACUGGCGACCUUGAGUGCAACAGAGGUAGGCGGAAUUCGUGGUGUAGCGGUGAAAUGCUUAGAUAUCACGAAGAACUCCGAUUGCGAAGGCAGCUUACUGGAUUGUAACUGACGCUGAUGCUCGAAAGUGUGGGUAUCAAACAGGAUUAGAUACCCUGGUAGUCCACACAGUAAACGAUGAAUACUCGCUGUUGGCGAUAUACGGUCAGCGGCCAAGCGAAAGCAUUAAGUAUUCCACCUGGGGAGUACGCCGGCAACGGUGAAACUCAAAGGAAUUGACGGGGGCCCGCACAAGCGGAGGAACAUGUGGUUUAAUUCGAUGAUACGCGAGGAACCUUACCCGGGCUUAAAUUGCAACUGACUGAACCGGAAACGGUUCCUUCUUCGGACAGUUGUGAAGGUGCUGCAUGGUUGUCGUCAGCUCGUGCCGUGAGGUGUCGGCUUAAGUGCCAUAACGAGCGCAACCCUUAUCGAUAGUUACUAGCAGGUCAUGCUGAGGACUCUAUUGAGACUGCCGUCGUAAGAUGUGAGGAAGGUGGGGAUGACGUCAAAUCAGCACGGCCCUUACGUCCGGGGCUACACACGUGUUACAAUGGGGGGUACAGAAGGCAGCUACACGGCGACGUGGUGCUAAUCCCGAAAGCCUCUCUCAGUUCGGAUUGGAGUCUGCAACCCGACUCCAUGAAGCUGGAUUCGCUAGUAAUCGCGCAUCAGCCACGGCGCGGUGAAUACGUUCCC
rnacentral:rRNA from 2 species